GUUUGAUUCUGUUAUGGGUAUUUGGUUUGAUUCUAUUAAAGGCUGGGUCUUUUGGAUUCAUUCUGUUAUAGGUAUUUAAAUAUUUGUGGCAAUGACAUUAUACUUUUGUCCACCACAUUCGUAGAAUGUGGCGUAUUUAAAUUGUGGUUUGUGCAGUUGAUUUUGUGGCCUUAAUUCUUUAAUAAUGGCCAUUGUCUUCACUAAAUUUUCCGAUUUGUUUGCACUAACACCUACCAGUUUCCAAAUUUGUAGCAAUAGAAUAAACACCCAUUGAUUUGAGGCUAUUAAAGGUUGAGUGUUUUGGCUUAAUUCUCUCAUACCUAUUUAAUUAUAAAUUAUCACAAUUGUUCUAAGUUUGUUAUCAAUUGUUAUCUGGAGGCUUUGACUUUAUAGGAGUGGCGAGCGUUGGUCUUCUUCUUAAGAUUGAACUCCAGCUUUUUCUAUGUUUCGGUCUCUCUCUCUCACUGAUCUCUGCUAGGGACUGGAAUGGAUACGCAAGAUACAUCUCCUUCAGUGUUGCUAUUCUUUGACAAGCAAAGAUUUAUAUUUAAUGUUGGAGAGGUGGUCUUUCUUUGCUUUGGAUAGAGCAGUUUGGUUGGUGUUUUCAGUUCUGUUAAGCAAGGGGUGAGUUUCUAGGCUGAAAUUUCAAUUAAUUGUUUUAAGUUUUGUGAAUAGAGCAUAGGAAUUAGCUAAUGGCAUCAAUUGACAAUUGGUUGGUGUUAAUUUGUUGUUGUAAUGAUAGGUUUAGAUGAUUACAAUAUUUGAACAUGUUGGUAAAUCCUUUGAGUGUUUUGGCAAUUGGGUAGUUGAGAUGUUCCCUGCCUAUUUUCAUCGCUUUAUACACAUUUCACGCAAUUUUAAAACCCGCAGCAUCGCGCGGGCACCUUUUGCUA